rnacentral:lncRNA from 1 species
GCUGAAUCUCACAGAUAUUUAGCAUAGACUUAUGUUUUAAUAUUAUUAUAAAUACGUUACUGAAAGGAAAAACAUUUUAGGAGAAAGAUGGAUGUUUUCUGAAAGACCCAUGGAAUCUGAUAAAUGAAACGUGGAAGCUCACAGAUGGAGGGUACGGGGAGGUCUUUUCAGCUUUUUACCAUUGGACUAAUGAUCAAUGUAGAAUGUCCUGGAUUGCAGAGGCCGUUUAGAGGCCUCUAAGUGCUUCUUCUUCAUUGCAUAUAAGUGGCCCCCAGGGCUAAGGUGAGCUUCCCAGAAAGCAGGACUGGCAGGUGGGAAGGUCUUGAUUAUUUAUCUCACAUCAGUACACAUCCCUUCCAAGAUCUCCAGUGGAAAGGGCCCAGCACAAGGUGGUGGCAAAGCGCAGGUAGCUUUGCUAGGCUAAGGGUGCAGGAAUCUAAUCUCACAGACAGUGCUGGAACACCAGGACAGCCCCUUCCCCACCCCCAGCUCUCCUCCACACAGCAGCCUCUCCUUAACAGAGACCUUACUUUACCUCUGGUUGUACUCCUCUCCCUGAGCUUUAGUUGCUAUUCGUUCCCAAUGAGCUGAACGUUUGGCUGUGUUGUGUACUAAUUGUGUUUUCACUCACUGUGGUGAGUUUUCGGACCAUCACUUGCCUCUUAAUUAAUUCCCAGUGCCUUAGUGCUUUUCAGGACUGCUUUUAUGAGGGCUGUAUGUGUAAGACAUCACUUCUUGGUCUUCCUUAUCCACUGCAAAUUUUCCCUCCAAGACAUUGUUCUUCAUUUUUGUUUUCUUUUGUUUUAACAUGUGAAAGCUACAUAUGCAUGCACAGGCACAUAGGCAUAGAUACACAGAGGCACAGAGAAGUGACAGGGACACGGAGACAUACACACAGAGACAUACCACACAUACAGAGACACACACCACAUACACUCACUCACACACACACACACACACACAUCACAUGCACACACACACACACACCACAUUACACACUCCAUUAACACACACAUACACACCACACAUGCUCCAUAAAUACACACAUAUGUGCACACCACACACACUAACACCCACACACAAACACAUGCACACCACACACAUUACGCACAAACACCAUACACACUCCAUAAAUACACACACAUGUGCACACCACACAUACACUAUAAACACACACACACAUGUACACCAUACACACUCACACAUACAUACCACACACACACCUCCCUCUCCUUUUGUGGCUCCCUAUCUCCCUA